UGAAUACGAGACGCUAAGGCGUCGAAGUAGUGUAUGUCAUACUUCCAAGAAAAGCUUGCACUGUCAUAGAUAAAAAACGCCUGUACCAUAACCGACACAGGUGGGUAGGUAGAGUAUACUAAGGGGCGCGAGAUAACUCUCUCUAAGGAACUCGGCAAAAUAACUCCGUAACUUCGGGAGAAGGAGUGCCUUAUUAUUAAGGCUGCAAUAACAAGAUCCAAGCAACUGUUUAUCAAAAACACAGGUCUCCGCUAAGUCGUAAGACGAUGUAUGGGGGCUGACGCCUGCCCAGUGCCAGAAGGUUAAAGAAGUUGGUUAGCAUUUGCGAAGCUGAUAACUGAAGCCCUGGUGAACGGCGGCCGUAACGAUAACGGUCCUAAGGUAGCGAAAUUCCUUGUCGGGUAAGUUCCGACCCGCACGAAAGGCGUAAUGAUUUGGAUACUGUCUCGGAGAGGGGCUCGGUGAAAUAGACUUGUCUGUGAAGAUGCGGACUACCUGCACCAGGACAGAAAGACCCUAUGAAGCUUUACUGUAACUUGAAAUUGAAAUUGGACUUUAUUCGCGCAGCAUAGGUGGGAGGCGUUGAUAUAAUCUUGUGGGAUUAUUGGAGCCAUCAGUGAGAUACCACUCUUGUAAUGUUAGAUUUCUAACUUUGAAUCAUUAUCUGGUCAAAGAACAGUUUCAGGCGGGCAGUUUGACUGGGGCGGUCGCCUCCUAAACGGUAACGGAGGCGUACAAAGGUUUCCUCUGAACGGUUAGAAAUCGUAUCUAGAGUGUAAAGGCAUAAGGAAGCUUGACUGUGAGACCUACAAGUCGAGCAGGGACGAAAGUCGGUCUUAGUGAUCUGACGGUACUGAGUGGAAAGGCCGUCACUCAACGGAUAAAAGUUACUCUAGGAUAACAGGCUGAUCUCCCCCAAGAGUUCACAUCGACGGGGAGGUUUGGCACCUCGAUGUCGGCUCAUCGCAUCCUGGGGCGGUAGUACGUCCCAAGGGUUGGGCUGUUCGCCCAUGAAAGCGGUACGCGAGCUGGGUUCAGAACGUCGUGAGACAGUUCGGUCCAUAUCCGGUGUAGGCGUUAGAAUAUUGAGAGGAGCCUUCUUUAGUACGAGAGGACCGAGAAGGACAUACCUCUGGUGUACCAGUUAUCGUGCCAACGGUAAACGCUGGGUAGCUAUGUAUGGAGUGGAUAACCGCUGAAAGCAUCUAAGUGGGAAGCCCACCUCAAGAUAAGUAUUCUCAC
rnacentral:rRNA from 1 species